UAUUGAACACGCCAUUUCUUUUGAUUUGCUCACCCUCUUCCCCUUUAGCAGCUGUCCCACACCACGAUUCGAGCCUCUGCUCUACCCUCUUCCCCCUUCACUCUUUUCUCGUCCCAACGCGCUACCUUCUUCACCACGCCUCAUCGCCCCCCUCCCUUCCCUCCCGUCCCGCCACAGCCGCCAUCACGGCCAUCAUCACCGCUAGCCUUUGCCUGAGCCGCUCUCUCCUCGCUGUUGUGCUGUUUCUGUCCUUCUUCCCUUUGGCACAACACAGAAAGCGAGCCUCUCUUUCGAGAAGAAACCAAAAAGGAAACGAAGAAAGCGGUCACAACCUCUCUCUCUCUCUUUCUCCACCAUCAUCCUCAGCGCACCGCCACAGAGAACCAAAACCCAGACGCAGAAGAGAGCGAAGAAGGAGCCACCGCGUUACACCCCCCGUGCCUCCCCCGUCAUCUUUUUCCUUUUUCUCUUAUAAACUUAGUGGCGGUAAUUGUGUGUGUGUGCGCGUGCGCUGGUGUAUGUGGGCUUUGUGGAGAUACGCAAGUCUCCAUAGAAGCGACUGUACGCUGAGGCAGGCACACCAGUGAGACACGAGACAGUUUUUAGCAGCAGCAGCAGUAAGUAGUAGUAGCAGUGUACUUCUCCACCUCUCACUCUCCCUGUCUGUCUCUUCCCCAAGCCCGUGUGUAUGCGUGUGUGCGUUUUGUAAGAAGUAAAAUUUUGUGCUUUUCCCCUCUUGCGCUUUUUGUUUCUUCCUUGCUUCCUUUCCCUUCCCCCCUCUUCGUGUGUGUGUGUGUGCGUGCGUGUGUGUCUGUCUCCGCCUGCAUUGGCUGCGUGCGUGUGUGUAUCUGUGUGUGUGUGUGCGCACCUACAGAAGGGUCACACAGCAGUUCGAGGUCUUCCCCUCUUCUCCGCUUUCCCCAGUAUCAUUAUCAGUAUCCUACUCACUCCCAUUUAUGUGUGCGUGUGUGUGUGUGCAAAAGCAAGUGCGUGCAUGUGUCUCGGGCUCUCUGUCUCCCUCCCUCUCACUCACUCUUUGUGUUUCGUCUUGCUGUUCCUCCCGUCGUUCUUGUCGCCAAGUUUGUUGCAGUGUGUUACCACUGCGGUUGCUGCCGUAGCUCUUGUGCCUGUUGAGUGAACCAUUGCCCUGCCUCCCUUCAUCUCUCUCGGCGUGUGUGUCUGUGGGUGUCUCGUUGGACUUUGUGCCGGAGGGUGUGCGCUCUUCUCUUCUCUUUAUUCCUUUCACUUUUUCCGUUUGUUGUCUGUUUCGUUGAGUUGGCUGAUCGCACUAUACGCCUCCCUCCUCCGCCCUCGGUUUCGUCUUUUACCCGGGUUUUCUGCUGUGGGCGCUUUCUUCCUCUCCACAUCUCCUGUCGCUCUGUCUGUGCCUGUGUGUGGGGAUCUGGAUUCUCUCCCUCUGCACAACUCACUAUCUCUCUUCUUUCUCUACCUCUUCCCCCUACAUCUUUUUUUGUUCGGUUUCUUUUCAUUGUGUCGUUGUGGGGGUUCUACGCCGAACUCCUCCUCUCCCUCUCGUUCACAUUUCUGUUGUGGCUGUCCCCCUUCUCUGUCGCGUGUGUGUGUGUGUGUGCGGUGCCCACUGCCGGCUGUGCGUUGCGUGCGUCUUUUUUUUCCUUUGCCUUCGCCGACCUUUGUGUGCUGUUGUCGUCUCUCGCUCUCGGUUUGUUUGUCUGUUCAUCGCCUGCGCCGCUGUUGUUUGCUCUCCACCCCAUCCCCCCUCCCGUUCCUAUCCCUCCAUUUCCGUCUCUUCCCUCGUACCCGCUUUUACGCGCGUUGUCCUAUUUUCCCACGUGCACGCCGGCCACACACACACACACACACUCACAGAGAGGGGUCUUGCUUGGCGUGCGCGUAUGUGUCUCUCUUAAGUGGCGGACGUCACUUUCUUUUCUCUUUUCGCUCCCCCUGUGCGUUGAUUAACCGGUCUCUCUCCUGUUUUCCUUUGGCGCCCACGUUUUUUGGGCCCCGAGCACUCGCGUCUCUUUUCCUUCCACCGCCUUAAUACGCCUCCCCCCUCAUCUGCUUCUACGCACCGUUGGUGCCGCUCGGCAUGGAGGACAAGAACCGUAAUCUCCUGAGUCAGCUGAGCGGGCUGCGUCUCAGCGACGGCUCCGUCGUCGGCAACCGCCUCGGCAGCGGCAACACUCCCCCCACGCUCUCCGCCUUCAGCUCCCGUUCUACCCCCCCCACCACGAGUCCUUCGAGCUUUCCUGCAUCGGCACUGCCAAGCCACUCGACCGAUGCGCUGAACGGGUCGCAGGGAAAGCAGCAGCGCCGCGGCAACCGCGCACCACGCGCAGACGCGAAGAAGGACGGUGAGUCACCAACUUCGUCCGUCACCGACAAGAUCAACCGACUUCUCGCUCAAAAUAAAGGGUCCUUGGCGAACAGCGGCGCCGCCGCUAGUGGGUCGUCUGGUGGCAACCGCGACGCUGGCGGCGCUAGCAUUCUCUCGUCGCUGGCCGCACAAAUUGGUCACUCCCCGUCUCUGUCGCCCAGCAACGGCGCUACCAGCUCGACACACUCCUCGACGCCGACAGCGGUAAGGACGGUGUCUAUGCCGGCAGCAUCGAGCUCAACCGUCGCCGUACCAAAGCCGCGCUCUGUGGAGGUCGCCACAACCAUGUCUGCCACGACCCCGGCCUCUAUGACCAUCCCUGCUGCGGCCGAGUCGCUCAAUCCAAAGGUGAUGGAGUUCUUCACCAAGGCUGCCGGUUGCUCCCGGCCGCCGCCACCGCUGGUGGAGCCGACAGCGGCGCUGAAGAGCGCCAUUGUUAUCGAAGAGCCAAAGAACGGCAAGGCGACCGGGGGCCGCAAGGAGAAGGCCACCGCCACAGCGGCAGGAGCAGCAGCGUCUUCAUCAUCCGCAUCACCCGCCCCUGCGGCUGCUGCUACAGCUUCGAGUAACGCACGCUCUGCACACCAGGCGUCCUCCUCGACGAAGGCACAGAAGGAAUCGACAGACCCGACCAACAAGUUUCUGGUAGACGCGUUCGGUGCGAUAGACAACCUCGACGCCACCAAGCCCAUUAUCCGCGCGGCCCCGGAGAUUCCGCGCGAGGGACGGUACAUUAUCGUUGGCGACGUGCACGGCUGCGUGGAUCAGCUGGAGCAGCUGGUCGAGAAGGUCAAGUACGUGAAAGGAAAGGACUGCCUCUUCAUUAUUGGCGAUUAUGUGAACAAGGGGCCGGACUCAAUCGGCGCGGUGCGCGCAUGCCAGCGCCUUGGCGCGUACGGCGUGCUGGGAAACCACGACUACACCCUGCUGCGGUGCUGUGCUCGUAUGCGGCGUCGCCCCUUCACUCCUGACGACCUCCGCGACCCGGUAAAGCGACUGGCCCAGAAACUCCCAAAGGACUGUGAGUACUACCUGCGUGGUCUGCCCCAUAUUGUGCGAAUUCCUCGCCACAACGUCCUCCUCGUGCACGCCGGGCUGAACCCCCAACACUCCUUAGAGAAUCAAAACGUCGAGGAGGUGAUGCACCUGCGCCGGCUGGAGAUGGUGCCGAGCAAGCCGGGCAUGUUCAAGGCAAUCGCCAAGGGGGUGGAGGGGGAGCCAUGGGCAAAGCUGUGGAGGGGGCCUGAGAUGGUCAUCUUCGGCCAUGACGCCUACGCCGGCUUCCAGGCGCAUGCGCACGCCUGCGGUAUCGAUACCGGCUGCGUCUACGGCGACCCGUUGACAUGUGUCGUUUACGGCCAGGACAGCCCCGCGGGUGAGUUUUUCUCCGUGCCUGGGCUGCCCAAGUUGGAGAACGAGAUGAAGGGUCUGCCUCCGCCUAGCUCCGACAUUUACGAGCAGGAGGACAUGGACCUCGAGAAGCUCAUUAUUCGACCUACCACGCGCGCCACGCCGGCCGUGAUGAACGGCAGCGCCGACUCUCGUCCAGUGUUCCUGGAGGCACCGCUGGGCUACAAGGAGGCUGAGGAGAGCAGCGCGGUCGGUGCAUCCACCGCCCCCAGCGUGAAGGCGUCGAACCUCACGGCAACGGUUACCAGCACGAACAUGGUAAUGACGCCCACCUCCACGUCUCCGUUGCGCCUCGCCACACCGACGUGCGCCGUCAAUGAGCGGCUUAUGGCGACGAACACCGUCAACACACGCGAGGUGCAGCGUGCGACACUGCUGGCUCUCUCUGCCACGCGCCAGCUUUCCGCGAUCGCGGUGCUGCUCGCGAUGCCCCUGUACGAUCAAGAAAUCGACGCAAUGCUGGGGUCGGAAAGCGCCGACGAAGUCUCACAGGAGGCCUUCUGGGAGCCCUUCACUCGCCUCAUCCUUGUGGCAGCAGCGGAGAUGCCCAAAGACGACGCUGCAACACUUGCAGGGGUGGAGGCGACGCUGCAGCUCGCCUUCGACGUGUGCGAGGAAAUGGAGGCGGUGGGGCGAAAGCUGCAGCCGGAGCUGAAGAAAUUUCUGCAGGCGGAGAGAGAGAGCCCUGCGUGGUCCAAGCGGAUCGUGAAAUGCGCGGAGACGCUGGUGUUGGCGUAAAUGGCGAUAUUCGCCCUGCACCACCUUCUGGAUGUCGGUCAUGUCCCGCGCCAUCUGUGCGCGUGGGAGUUUGCGUCUGCGUAUGCUUGCGCAUAACGGGGGCGACGCUACCAUGGCGGGUGGUGGCCCUCGUUUGCCUUGAAUGCCGCCGCCCUUCCUCUUGAAUGCUCGGGAAGAACACCACGCUCCCCCGUUUCUCUCUGCUCGUGCGUACAUGCGCGUGCGUGUGUCAGAACCUUGUUUUAUAGCUGACGCAAAGAACAGAGGGGAGCACAUGGAAACGUGAGGCUAGGAGAGGUGUCGUGGCCUGUCAGGGGAGGGAGGCGCAGGGGUAGGGGGCAUACAGCGUGUGCGUGUGGGCGCGUGUAAGAGUCCACAUAUGCGCGUGCAUGCUUGCACCGUUGCCCACAGCAAAAUUCAUCGUUCUUUCCAUUAUGCGUGUGUGUGCGCGUGCGUGCUUUAGUUCUUCCCAUUCCGUUCAGAAUGACGUCUUGAUUGCAUUCUGGCAGGCGUUGCUGCCUCUUCCCCCCUUUUCCCCCUCCCUUUUUUCGUUUGGCCCGCCGUGCGGCGUUUAUCGGAGCCCCAGCGUCUCGCUGACGGGCGGCAUCUCCCCACCUCCCCUGCCGUCGCCAGCCCUUCCCCUUCCCGUUUCCACUCUACCUCCAUCACUCUCCCUAUUAUUGUGUGCCUGCGAAGGCAGCCGAGGAGCGACACGACACCGCCAAGGCCGCUUUUCUUCUUUAUGAUUGUUUUGUUCUGUUGUGUGUGUGUGUGUGUGUUUUCCCUCACUCUCACUCGUAUGUGUCCUCGCCCUUUCCUCAAUAACGGAAUGAGACGUGUUCCUCUCUCCUUUCUGUGUGCCCCUGUGUGUAUGUGUGUGUGCUCUAGCUCACGAACAUCGUGACCGUCGAGGCCCCAGAGCUAUCGCCGUCUUCUCCAGAUGCCCCUCCUUUGGAAUCGGUGCUGAGAAGGACCUCUUUCCUCUCCCUCCCUCUUGCAUAGGGGCGCGCCGACGUCUCCUUGUCUCGGUCUGUCGUCGAGUGGAGGAAAAGGGAGGGCAGGAAGGUGCGCUUGUGCGUGCGGCCUCGUGCGUUUCUUGUGCUUUUCUUCGAUUCGAGGAUGCACCACGCAGAGGUGAAGCAAGGGCAGUCAGCAGUGUGGCGCUUUGCCCCACGGAGAGCACGGUGGCGUGGGGGGGGGUCGGGAAAGAGGGGAUUGCUGAUUGGUCAGGGGAAGGGUGGAGGGGGUUGGCGCAUGCGCUAUCGUGGAGCGGGGUCUCUCUCUCUCUCUCUCGGCAUUCUACCCCAGCCCCCUCCUUCCUUAGACCUUUCCCAUUGGCUGCUUCUCUCCUCGCGCUGUCUUCGUUCUCUGUGUUUGUGGAUUCGUUUCCUCCCCCUGCUCCGCUUGUCACGCACACACACCCCUCUCUAUCGUACCCUGCCCCGCCACCUCGCCGCGAUGCGAUUUGCCGAGGCGGGUGCGGCGCGCUCAUUGUAAUUUUGCACGCUCUCACCUACCCAUAAACGGAGAAG
rnacentral:misc_RNA from 1 species